rnacentral:rRNA from 1 species
AUACGUAGGUGGCAAGCGUUGUCCGGAAUUAUUGGGCGUAAAGCGCGCGCAGGCGGUCCUUUAAGUCUGAUGUGAAAGCCCACGGCUCAACCGUGGAGGGUCAUUGGAAACUGGGGGACUUGAGGGCAGAAGAGGAAAGUGGAAUUCCAAGUGUAGCGGUGAAAUGCGUAGAGAUUUGGAGGAACACCAGUGGCGAAGGCGACUUUCUGGUCUGUAACUGACGCUGAGGCGCGAAAGCGUGGGGAGCAAACAGGAUUAGAUACCCUGGUAGUCCACGCCGUAAACGAUGAGUGCUAAGUGUUAGGGGGUUUCCGCCCCUUAGUGCUGCAGCUAACGCAUUAAGCACUCCGCCUGGGGAGUACGGUCGCAAGACUGAAACUCAAAUGAAUUGACGGGG